UAAGAACAUGAGCUGCUCAGGUCCUGCAGCCCCCUGAGCUGGAGCUGGGUAUCCAGAUUCAAAUUGAGGAGAUCCGGCCUGAUGUGUGGACCACGCACAGGUUUCACCAAAAUGCUUCAUCCAUCAGCAGAGACAUUCAAAUUGCAGACCGCCCAACACAAGCUGAAGUUAACUGGGAAGAGAGAACCAAAACUGAGAAAAAUCCUCCCCUAAGAUUGGCCCGCAGGGCCAAACAAGUUCAUGUUCCCAGGUCCAGGAAGCUACUCCUAUCCCGAUUGAUGGAAACUCCCUUGCUCAACCCCUUAUGUCAAAAUAUGUUGGCCAAUGCUACAGCCCAGCCUGCUCCCCUCGCUCUGUGGUUUUAUCCUUUAAAUGUGCUGCCCAGUGUCCCUUCAGGGUCGUAGCUCCCGAGUCGGUUCUGCGGCCCUGAUCAAUUAGGAGCAGCUUGGUUACAAUAAAUGUUUGUCAUCUGCAUUGACCUGGUGUUUGAGUUAUGUUGGGUUAA